rnacentral:piRNA from 1 species
UGAACAUGAAUCUCUGAUUAAUGGGAUGA